rnacentral:lncRNA from 1 species
UUUUAUUUUGCUACACCAAUUUUAUGAUGCUAGUCCAGUGAUAUAUUGAGGUCAUUAAUCCCAGCCUGAUCGCGGGCUAAGCGAACACUUCGCAGAAUUUCGCAAAUUUCAUUUCAAGGAAUCAUAGCACAGAAUAGUAAUAGUUUUUAUGCGAUCAAUUCGUUGGAAAGAAAACACAAAUAUGUUGUCUAAAUUGUGAAGUAAGAAAGAUUUAAUUGAAAUGGAAAGUGCUUCAUCAGAAAGUGUUCCUGUUGAUGAAAUCAACGAACUACUCACAUGUUGCAUGUGUUUGGAAACUUUACAAGAACCACGAAGCUUGGCUUGCUUUCAUAAUUUUUGUAAAGUAUGUUUAGGUGAGUAUAUU